AUUGAACGCUGGCGGCAUGCCUUACAUAUGCAAGUCGAACGGCAGCACGGGUGCUUGCACCUGGUGGCGAGUGGCGAACGGGUGAGUAAUACAUCGGAACAUGUCCUGUAGUGGGGGAUAGCCCGGCGAAAGCCGGAUUAAUACCGCAUACGAUCUACGGAUGAAAGCGGGGGACCUUCGGGCCUCGCGCUAUAGGGUUGGCCGAUGGCUGAUUAGCUAGUUGGUGGGGUAAAGGCCUACCAAGGCGACGAUCAGUAGCUGGUCUGAGAGGACGACCAGCCACACUGGGACUGAGACACGGCCCAGACUCCUACGGGAGGCAGCAGUGGGGAAUUUUGGACAAUGGGCGAAAGCCUGAUCCAGCAAUGCCGCGUGUGUGAAGAAGGCCUUCGGGUUGUAAAGCACUUUUGUCCGGAAAGAAAUCCUUGGCCCUAAUACGGUCGGGGGAUGACGGUACCGGAAGAAUAAGCACCGGCUAACUACGUG
rnacentral:rRNA from 1 species